CGAGAGGGGGCAAGCGUUAUUCGGAAUUAUUGGGCGUAAAGGGCGCGUAGGCGGCUUUGCAAGUGACGGGUGAAAGCCCUCGGCUUAACCGAGGAACUGCCUGUCAGACUGUGAGGCUUGAGACCGGGAGAGGUGAGUGGAAUUCCCAGUGUAGCGGUGAAAUGCGUAGAUAUUGGGAGGAACACCAGUGGCGAAGGCGGCUCACUGGACCGGAACUGACGCUGAGGCGCGAAAGCGUGGGGAGCAAACAGGAUUAGAUACCCUGGUAGUCCACGCCGUAAACGAUGAGUGCUUGGUGUAGCGGGUAUCGACCCCUGCUGUGCCGAAGUCAACACAUUAAGCACUCCGCCUGGGGAGUACGGUCGCAAGACUG
rnacentral:rRNA from 1 species